AUAAGCUCAACCACCAAAGUGUGCAAACUUGUGCAAUCCCUCAAAAGAACUAUUGGCUCAACAGAUCCUCGAAAUUUCUUCAGCUUCUCCUCCAAACCCUGCAAUGAGUUUUGAAAAAAAAAAGAGCUAGCAAUGGUCGUCAUUGAGGACUCAACGAAGAAUUCAGUGGAAUCAGGAUCAGGAAGCAUAAGUAGAUAACCGGAUCAUUUUUGUGUUUACUACUCAGGGAGGAAGCAGGGACCAACUACUGAAUGCGUAGACUGGUUCUAUAUUGAUGAAGAAAUUGGUAAGAGAUACAGAUCGAGAAAAAAAGUGUUUCAAGCAUCUGACACAAAAGAACAGACCUCAAAUUGAGCCUGUAACUGAUACUCCUUCCAUGGCGCAGCAACCAUCUGAGGCAACAAAAGCUGAAGUGAGAGAAUGGAAGCCUAAGAACCUGACGUAACAAAACCUGACAGCGAUGAGGGCCAUCCCUUUUGUUGAUGGAGUGGAGGUGGCUAAAGAAAUUCGUCGAGUUUGGGCUGAGGAUUUUAAGAAACAACUAAAUAACAAGAAAUUGUUAGUAUAAAAUACUUUUAGUUUAUGGUAUUUUUUAUAUUCACCACAUUUAAUCUUUCUGAUUCUAAUAAUUUGUAGCAUUUUUUCCCUUUCUUAGGAGGAAGCGCAUGAACUAAAGAGA